rnacentral:lncRNA from 1 species
GUGAACGGCUGGUGUGAUGAUGAUGAUGAGGAUGUAGACGUAUGUCAGCGUAGGUAGGAUCUCAGUGGCACACUCCGGUACGAAGUCUACCAUACGAUCAGUAGAUUACAAAUGUUAUGUUAUUGCAUGCUUCGGCAGAUAGUAUAUUGUUUUAGUCCUUAAUUACUAUAUUCUUAGAGUUUGCUUUCGUUUGUAGAUGGAUGUGCGGGUGAACAGUAGUCAUAAUAGGCGGGAGAGUGGAGCGGGAGGCGGCCGCAGCGCGUCGUCCAAGCCCCAGGCGAGCAAGCCCGCGUACUCUCAGUCCUACUGGACGCCCAACUAGCCGCUUGCACGGCCCAAACACAGUCGUUAGACACAUGUACAUAGAUGGCGCGCGAGCGCCCCCUCACCGUGCAGUCAAUUGUCGAGUGACCGUCGCCGGCGGCACACGGAACGGUACAUUGUUGUCUCACGUGUAUCCGUUUUAAUGUAUAACUGAUAUUGUAAAAUAAAAUGAAAGGAAAUUGAAACGACAACUAUGUUAAUAACUUUAUUAUACUUUUUUUUUUUUUAUAUAAAUUCAUAAGUGCGGGCGUCGGUCGCGAUCGAAUAUCGUAUCGUACAGCGAGAUUAAGUUUAGACUUUAAUUGCAAUAUUAGGUUGUUUUAUAACUAUAAUUCAUAUAGUAUACAUUUUUAAGUUCCGGCCGACGUCGUUCUCAAGCGGGCAACGCCGCUAUAGUAUACAAUAAUUGUUUAAAAAUUUAACUGUAGUCCUAUGUAUAUCUUAUAUCUAUAUAUAAAAAUAUGUAUAUCUAUAUAAGUGUUUGGUACGCUAUGCGCGCCGAAUUUUUUUGUAUUUAGUUGACUUUUGUAAUUAAACAUAUUAUUAUUAAAAAAAAAAUGUCAUAGGUAAUCGUAAUUGUAACAGUACCAUAAUUUAUAGACGAGGUCUUUUUUAUGUGAAAGAAUGCAGGUGUGUUGAUCUCGCGGGCAUUUGUAUGAGGGAAUAAACCAAUAUUGGAACUUU